CCGGUUGAUCCUGCCGGAGGCGACCGCUAUUGGAGUUCGAUUAAGCCAUGCGAGUAGAAAGAAAUUAGAUUCUUUGCAUACUGCUCAGUAACACGUGGAUAACCUGCCCUACACUGGGGGAUAACCUCGGGAAACUGAGAAUAAUACCCCAUAGACCACAACGCCUGGAGCGGUGUGUGGUUGAAAGCUCAGGCGGUGUAGGAUGGGUCUGCGGCGUAUCAGGUCGUAGGGGGUGUAAUGGACCUCCUAGCCAUCGACGCGUACGGGUUGUGGGAGCAAUAGCCCGGAGACGGAUUCUGAGACACGAAUCCGGACCCUACGGGGUGCAGCAGGCGCGAAAACUUCACACUGCAGGCAACUGUGAUGAGGGAACUCCAAGUGACUGCACAUUGUGUAGCCUUUUCUUGAAUUUUAAUAGUUCUUGGAAUAAGGGCUGGGAAAGACCGGUGCCAGCCGCCGCGGUAAUACCGGCAGCUCAAGUGGUCGUCGCUUUUAUUGGGCCUAAAACGUCCGUAGCCUGUUUGGUAAAUCUGUGGGUAAAUCAAUCCGCUCAACGGAUUGAAUUCUGCAGAGACUGCCAGACUAGGGACCGGGAGAGGUAUGAGGUACUCUGGGGGUAGGGGUAAAAUCCUGUCAUCCUCAGAGGACCACCUGUUGCGAAGGCGUCAUACUGGAACGGAUCCGACGGUCAGGGACGAAGCCUAGGGGCACGAACCGGAUUAGAUACCCGGGUAGUCCUAGGUGUAAACGCUGUGGAUUUGGUGUUGGGGAUCCGCAAUGGGUCCCCAGUGCCGGAGUGAAGAUGUUAAAUCCACUGCCUGGGGAGUACGGUCGCAAGGCUGAAACUUAAAGGAAUUGGCGGGGGAGCACUGCAACGGGAGGAGCGUGCGGUUUAAUUGGAUCAACGCCGG
rnacentral:rRNA from 1 species